rnacentral:misc_RNA from 1 species
GAUGAAGAACGCAGCAAAAUGCGAUAAGUAAUGUGAAUUGCAGAAUUCAGUGAAUCAUCGAAUCUUUGAACGCACAUUGCGCCCGCUGGUAUUCCGGCGGGCAUGCCUGUUCGAGCGUCAUUUCAACCCUCAAGCCCCCGGGUUUGGUGUUGGGAAUCGGCUCUGCCCUUCUGGGCGGUGCCGCCCCCGAAAUACAUUGGCGGUCUCGCUGCAGCCUCCAUUGCGUAGUAGCUAACACCUCGCAACUGGAACGCGGCGCGGCCAUGCCGUAAAACCCCAACUUCUGAAUGUUGACCUCGGAUCAGGUAGGAAUACCCGCUGAACUUAAGCAUAUCAAUAAGCGGAGGA